GAUGAACGCUGGCGGCGUGCCUAAUACAUGCAAGUCGAGCGAACAAACGAGGAGCUUGCUCCUCUGACGUUAGCAGCGGCCGGGUGAGUAACAAGUGGAUAACAUACCUAUAAGACUUUCAUAACUUCCGGAAACCGGAGCUACUACCAGAGAAUAUAUUGAGCCUCUUGGUUCAAUAGUGAGAGACGGUUUUUCUGUCACUUAUAGAUGGAUCCGCGCCGCAUUAGCUAGUUGGUAAGGUAACGGCUUACCAAGGCAACGAUGCGUAGCCGACCUGAGAGGGGGAUCGGCCACAAUGGAACUGAGACACGGUCCAGACUCCUACGGGAGGCAGCAGUAGGGAAGCUUCCGGAAUGGGCGAAAGCCUGACGGAGCAACGCCGCGUGAGUGAGGAUGGUCUUCGUAUCGUAAAACUCUGUUAUUAGGGAAGAACAAAUGUGUAAUUAACUAUGCACGUCUUGACGGUACCUAAGCAGAAAGCCACGGCUAACUACGUG
rnacentral:rRNA from 1 species